CCCAGACUCCUACGGGAGGCAGCAGUGGGGGAUAUUGCACAAUGGGGGGAACCCUGAUGCAGCGACGCCGCGUGGGUGAAGAAGUAUUUCGGUAUGUAAAGCCCUAUCGGCAGGGAAGAAAUUGGACGGUACCUGACUAAGAAGCCCUGGCUAACUACGUGCCAGCAGCCGCGGUAAUACGUAGGGGGCAAGCGUUAUCCGGAUUCACUGGGUGUAAAGGGAGCGUAGACGGCCAUGCAAGCCUGGAGUGAAAGCCCGGGGCCCAGCCCCGGGACUGCUCUGGGAACUGUGCGGCUGGAGUGCGGGAGGGGCAGGCGGAAUUCCUGGUGUAGCGGUGAAAUGCGUAGAUAUCAGGAGGAACACCGGCGGCGAAGGCGGCCUGCUGGACCGCGACUGACGUUGAGGCUCGAAAGCGUGGGGAGCAAACAGGAUUAGAUACCCUUGUAU
rnacentral:rRNA from 1 species